rfam:Myotis lucifugus cont2.40970, whole genome shotgun sequence.
GAUGUUUCUCAGGUGAUGCACUCCGGAAUCAGGCUCCCUCCUCUUUGGUUCCUGGUGUAUCACUCGAGAACCACA